rnacentral:rRNA from 1 species
AACGAACGGUGGCGGCGUGGAUAAGACAUGCAAGUCGAACGGGACUUUCAUUGUAGCAAUACGAUGGAAGUUCAGUGGCGCAAGGGUGCGUAACACGUGGGUAAUCUGCCGAGAAGUGGGGGAUAGCUCGCCGAAAGGCGAAUUAAUACCGCAUGUGGUCAGCGAAGUCAUUUUCGCGAAACCAAAGCCGGGGCAACCUGGCGCUUCUUGAUGAUCCCGCGGCCUAUCAGCUAGUUGGCGGGGUAAAAGCCCACCAAGGCUAUGACGGGUAGCUGUCUGAGAGGACGACCAGCCACACUGGAACUGAGACACGGUCCAGACACCUACGGGUGGCAGCAGUCGAGAAUUUUUCUCAAUGGGCGCAAGCCUGAAGGAGCGACGCCGCGUGGAGGAUGAAGGUCUUCGGAUUGUAAACUCCUGUCAUUAGGGAACAAAACUUCCGCAUAACUGCCGGAAGCUUGAUAGUACCUGAAGAGGAAGAGACGGCUAACUCUGUGCCAGCAGCCGCGGUAA